UGUUACAGUAGAAUAUGCUAUCACCAUGAUAUAUAUAUAUAUAUAUAAAAGGUUGAGUGAAGCCACUAAAAAAUAUCACUCUCAAUUGGGUUGGCCCUAUAGGGUUUUGACCCUACUUUAUAAGUAGGGCCAAGAUAAAAAAUGGCCCUAUAACCUGCAGGGCUAAUUAUUUAAAAUGUUUGUAGGCCAAAAAUCCUAUAAAACUAAAGGGCCUAGGGCCAGUCCAUGGGCUACUUUUUUUUUUUGGUAAAAGCUAAAUUUUUUAACCCACAAUAAUAAUACACUCUAAUUCAUUUUGAUUAAGACAAAAAAAAUUUCUAAUCUUAGUUGGUAACACACAACACAGUUCCAAAAAGAACAAAAGAAAAAGAAUUAUAAGAUUGGUCACAUGAAAAAAAGAAAUGCAACUGGGCAAGGAAUGCAUCGAAGAGAUAACUUGUAAACUUGUCUUGAUAAGCAUGCAUAUAAAAGAGAAAGAGAGAGAAAGAAUCAAUUUGAUUCCAAAUUCACCGUUGAAUCAAAGACACACUGGGGUGACGCACAAGUUCUGAAGGAACUGAGAACAAAAUCGACCCUUCUUCUCUAACUCCAAGUUUAUCAUGUAGAUGCUCAAGGAACUUCACCAUCUUCUAGAACCUUUCCUACCUCGAAACUCUUAGACAUUUCAAACAACUACUUCUCAGGUUGAGAUGCUCCACAAGCAUCACUUCCACUAUGAACAUAGCAUGUGCCGUGGGAUUAUUGGGGAUUUUCUUUCUUUUUUUUUUUUGAAAA